AUUGAACGCUGGCGGCAGGCCUAACACAUGCAAGUCGAGCGGAUGAGUGGAGCUUGCUCCAUGAUUCAGCGGUGGACGGGUGAGUAAUGCCUAGGAAUCUGCCUAUUAGUGGGGGACAACGUUUCGAAAGGAACGCUAAUACCGCAUACGUCCUACGGGAGAAAGCAGGGGACCUUCGGGCCUUGCGCUAAUAGAUGAGC
rnacentral:rRNA from 1 species